AACGACUCUCGGCAACGGAUAUCUCGGCUCUCGCAUCGAUGAAGAACGUAGCGAAAUGCGAUACUUGGUGUGAAUUGCAGAAUCCCGCGAACCAUCGAGUCUUUGAACGCAAGUUGCGCCCGAUGCCUUCUGGCCGAGGGCACGUCUGCCUGGGUGUCACUC
rnacentral:rRNA from 1 species